UGGCUCAGUGGUUAAGAGCACUGGCUGCCCUUCCAGAGGUCCUGAGUUCAACUCUCAG
rnacentral:tRNA from 1 species